rnacentral:lncRNA from 1 species
AUGGGGCCGGGGCCGGCGGGGAGCGCGGGGGGGGGGGCGCGGGGUGGUCCCCGGGGCCGGCGGGGAGCGCGGGGCGGGGGCGCGGGGUGGUCCCCGCAGGGAGGACGUUCCCGGGCGGCGGCCUGCGUCACAGCGGGGCCGGGCCGGGCGGCGGCGGCGGCGGCGGCGGCGGCGACCCCGGGCCCGGGCGCUGGGCGGCGCUGGCUGCCGCGGGCCGGGCGGCGCGCGGGGCGGCGCUGGCGGCGGGAGGAGGGCUCUGCGGGGCCGGGCGGCAGCUGCGUCCCGGCUCGGAGCCCGCGAGGAGGACGAGGAGGGAGGCGCCGCCGUGGCCGCGGCCGCAGUGCUCGGGCGCCACCCGCCCUGAGCGGCGGCCCCGCCGACGACCCCGCCGCCGAGCCGGCCCGGGAGACCGCCCGCCGCUCCCCAGCGCCGUCCCCGCCGGCAGCCCGGCGCCCGGAGGUAAGGGCGGGGACCGCCGAGGGAUGCUGGCGAGGGCGGCCCGCUAGGUGCGCGGGAGCCGCGGCCCCGCCCGCCCCCGCCCUCGGAGCCCCCCGCUGCCUGGGCUCGGGGACCCCCGCGGGGCGCCCCAGGCUGGCGCCCAGCUCCGCGCGGCCGCCGCAGGUCCUGCGGACUUGGGGGGGCGGAGGGUGGGGGGGCCGGGAGGAGGAGGGGGCCGAGGAGGAGGAGGAGGACGAGGAGGAGGAGGGGAGAGGCGGCCACCGCGGGGCGAUCGUCCUUCUCCCCUACCUGGAGCCCCCCGCGCCCCCACGGCCUGUCCCUUCUGGGGUGCUCUCCCCGUGUACCCCCGGGCCCCUGAAGUUAGCACUUUCGGGGAGCGAGGAACCGGAGGGCCCCCGACGGGAGCGCGAGCGCGGCGCCUGCCCCCGGCGGGACCGGGGGAGCGAGGGUCGGGCGGGGCGGGCGGGCCCGGGAGCCAGGUGUCCAGGCCGGCGGUGGAGGAGGGGACCGCCGCCCUCCGCCCAAACGCAGGCCGCCGCGCCUUCCCUUUGCAGCCGGUUCCCGGCAGCGAGGUGGCCGGGGGUGGAGUGCGCGACUCCGGAGCCCUCGGACGUGCUCCCGGGACGCUGGUUCCUUUCUGGCCCCCCAGCACCCCCCCAGCAUCCCCUCCCAGCAUCCCCCAGCGCCCCCCCAGCAUCCCCCCAGCGCCCCCCAGAACCCCCCAGCACCCCCCCAGCAUCCCCCCAGCACCCCCCCAGCAUCCCCCCCCUCCCCCGCCGGUGCGCAGCACCUCGCCGCGCCUUCCACAGCCCGCGCGCCACCCGGCCCUGA